CUAAGAAGACGGGGCUUGAACCCGCGACUAAGAAGUCAAAGUUCUCCGUUUUUCCUCUAAACUACUCCUUA
rnacentral:tRNA from 1 species